UAAGACAGAGGUGCCAAGCGUUAGGCGGAAUCACUGGGCUUAAAGCGUGUGUAGGCGGAUGCCUAAGUACCUUGUGAAAUCCCACGGCUCAACCGUGGAACUGCUUGGUAUACUGGGUGUCUUGAGCCAUCUAGGGGCUACCGGAACAAAUGGUGGAGCGGUGAAAUGCGUAGAUAUCAUUUGGAACGCCAAUGGUGAAAACAGGUAGCUGGGGAUGUGCUGACGCUGAGACACGAAAGCCAGGGGAGCAAACGGGAUUAGAUACCCCGGUAGUCCUGGCCCUAAACGAUGUCCACUAGAUCGUGGCGGCUCUGACGCCGUCAUGGUCGAAGCAAAAGUGCUAAGUGGACCGCCUGGGAAGUACGGUCGCAAGGCUA
rnacentral:rRNA from 1 species